CUCAGUAGAACACGCCUGACGGUCAGGGACGAAAGCUGGGGUAGCGAACCGGAUUAGAUACCCGGGUAGUCCCAGCUGUAAACGAUGCUCGCUAGGUGUUGGGUCGGCCAUGCGCCGCCCCAGUGCCGCAGUGAAGCCGUUAAGCGAGCCGCCUGGGGAGUACGGCCGCAAGGCUGAAACUUAAAGGAAUUGGCGGGGGAGCACCACCGGGCGUGAAGCUUGCGGUUUAAUUGGAGUCAACGCCGGAAAUCUUACUAGGAAUUCGACAGCAGAGUGCAGGCCAGAUGGGAGGGCUUGCAAGACGU
rnacentral:rRNA from 1 species